rnacentral:rRNA from 1 species
CGCUUGUCUCAAAGAUUAAGCCAUGCACGUCUAAGUACUCGCCUUGGUUUAAUUAAAGUGAAACCGCGAAUGGCUCAUUAAAUCAGUUAUGGUUCACUAGACCGUACCACAUCCUACUCGGAUAACUGUGGUAAUUCUAGAGCUAAUACAUGCAACUAGGCCCCGCCCGGCCGCCCCGUCCGUCAAAACGACGGUCGGUCGGAAAGGGCGCCAUUAUCAGCUCAAAACCGACCGGGUCCGCCUGCGCCACCCUCGUGACGGCCAGGCUCCCGUUCUCGUUGACCCUUUGACGACUCUGGAUAACCUCCUAGCGGAUCGCCGGUAAACAUUAGGUCGGCCGGGCGGCAACGUCCGCGUCCGACCUAACGGCGACUAGUCUUUCGAAUGUCUGCCUUAUCAACUGUCGACGGUAGGUUAGACGCCUACCGUGGUCGUAACGGGUGACGGGGAAUCAGGGUUCGAUUCCGGAGAGGGAGCCUGAGAAACGGCUACCACAUCCAAGGAAGGCAGCAGGCACGCAAAUUACCCAAUCCCCGAACGGGGAGGUAGUGACGAAAAAUAACGAUACGGGACUCUUAACGAGGCCUCGUAAUCGGAAUGAGUCCGCUCUAAAUCCUUUUAACGAGGAUCUAUCGGAGGGCAAGUCUGGUGCCAGCAGCCGCGGUAAUUCCAGCUCCGAUAGCGUAUAUUAAAGUUGCUGCGGUUAAAAAGCUCGUAGUUGGAUUUGGGUUUUCGGGCCGGCGGGCCGCCGCCUUCGAGCGGCGCGUCUCCCGCCGCGCCCCCGGAACCGCACGGUCGCAGAGGCCCCCGCGGUGCUCUUCAGUGAGUGUCCGCCGGUUCGGGUCGCCGAACGUUUACUUUGAAAAAAUUAGAGUGCUCCAGGCAGGCCGGUAAAGCGUUGUUUAAAAAAGACCCGCGCCUGAAUAGUCACGCAUGGAAUAAUGAAAGAGGACCGGUGGUCCUAUUUUGUUGGUUUUCGGGAUUUUCCGCCGUCAUGAUUAAGAGGGACGGCCGGGGGCAUUCGUACCGCGGCGCGAGAGGUGAAAUUCUAGGACCGCCGCGAGACGAACCGUUGCGAAAGCAUUUGCCAAGAAUGUUUUCCUUAAUCAAGAACGAAAGUCAGAGGUUCGAAGGCGAUCAGAUACCGCCCUAGUUCUGACCGUAAACGAUGCCACCUGACGAUCCGCCAGGGUUACUACCAUGACUCGGCGGGCAGCCCCCGGGAAACCCAAGCCUUCGGGUUCCGGGGGAAGUAUGGUUGCAAAGCUGAAACUUAAAGGAAUUGACGGAAGGGCACCACCAGGAGUGGAGCCUGCGGCUUAAUUUGACUCAACACGGGGAACCUCACCCGGCCCGGACACCGCGAGGAUUGACAGAUUGAGAGCUCUUUCUCGAUUCGGUGGGUGGUGGUGCAUGGCCGUUCUUAGUUGGUGGAGCGAUUUGUCUGGUUAAUUCCGAUAACGAACGAGACUCUAGCCGGUUAAGUAGCCCGGAGCGGUUUUUGAUCUUUGCCGUCCGUCCUUUGUUUUUUCCCUUUUUCCCGUCCUCGGCCGACCGGUUCGGCAAGGUAUGCGGGAAGGCGGAGUGGGUGGCGGAGGAGAGANNNNNNNUUUUUUUCCGUUUUUUCCUACUUUUAACCUUCUCGCCGUCUUUGUCCGUUUCCCGAGCGGUCGAGACGGAAGGGGAGCUUAGGCGGAAGCAUAACCGAAGGCCGUCGGCUUUUACAGGAAGCUUCUUAGAGGGACGAGCGGCGUUCAGCCGCCCGAGAUUGAGCGAUAACAGGUCUGUGAUGCCCUUAGAUGUCCGGGGCCGCACGCGCGCUACACUGAAGGGCUCAGCGUGCUCGUUUCUCCCGAGCCGACAGGCUCGGGGAACCCGUUGAAACCCUUUCGUGCUAGGGACAGGGACUUGCAAUUGUGUCCCUCCAACGAGGAAUUCCCAGUAAGCGCGAGUCAUCAGCUCGCGUUGAUUACGUCCCUGCCCUUUGUACACACCGCCCGUCGCUACUACCGAUUGAACGAUUUAGUGAGGUCUUCGGACCGGUGGCCGUUCCGAGCCGUCGCUACCUUUCGGGGUCGGCGGUUUUUUCUUUCGGGGUCGGCCGGCCGGGAAGAUGCCCGAACUUGAUCGUUUAGAGGAAGA